UACUAGAGUAGCACUCGCAUAUCAAUAAGCGGAGGAAAAGAAACUAACAAGGAUUCCCCUAGUAACGGCGAGUGAAGCGGGAAGAGCUCAAAUUUGAAAUCUUAAAGGGUUUCCCUUUACGAAUUGUAGUUUAAAGAAGUGUUUCUCUGUUGAGGUUUUGGUAAAAGUUCUUUGGAAUAGGACAUCAUAGAGGGUGAGAAUCCCGUAUUUGACCUUUACUUUCAACUUUGUGAGUACACUUUCAAAGAGUCGGAUUGUUUGGGAAUGCAGUCCAAAAUGGGUGGUAAAUUUCAUCUAAAGCUAAAUAUUGGCGAGAGACCGAUAGCGAACAAGUACCGUGAGGGAAAGAUGAAAAGAACUUUGAAAAGAGAGUUAAACAGUACGUGAAAUUGUCAAAAGGGAAGCGUUUAACACCAGUGUUGUUUUUCUGAAAAUCAAUUAAAGAACUGUUUAUGCUAAGUUGUUUAGACUUUAUCAGCUAACUGUUUAGUUUUGAGCUUUUCUUUAAUGCACUUUUCAGUUAACAAGUCAACAUCAAUUUCUUUUGCUGUAAAAAAGCUUGAGGAAGGUGGCUUGAGAUUCGUCUUAAGUGUUUAUAGCCUCUUGCCUAUGCAGUCGGAGAGAUUGAGGUCUGCAGCGUAGAUCCUUCGGGGCUAAAUGCAUUUGUGCUAAGUUAUAGCAUUUUAUAGACAACUUGUUGACUAUGAUUUGUCUUGUAGCUUACUCGCUUAUGUUAUUUUACCUACGCUUAGGAUGUUGAACUCUAUCACACACAG
rnacentral:rRNA from 1 species